rnacentral:rRNA from 1 species
UACAGAGGUCUCAAGCGUUGUUCGGAUUCAUUGGGCGUAAAGGGUGCGUAGGUGGCGGGGUAAGUCGGAUGUGAAAUCUCAGGGCUCAACCCUGAAACUGCAUUCGAUACUGCCUUGCUCGAGGACUGGAGAGGAGAUUGGAAUUCACGGUGUAGCAGUGAAAUGCGUAGAUAUCGUGAGGAAGACCAGUGGCGAAGGCGGAUCUCUGGACAGUUCCUGACACUGAGGCACGAAGGCCGGGGGAGCAAACGGG